rnacentral:misc_RNA from 1 species
UUUCCGUAGGUGAACCUGCGGAAGGAUCAUUAUCGAAUUUCGAGGGGGAAGAUGGUGGGGAAGACUGUCGCUGGCUUUCACUGGGAAGCAUGUGCACGCCUUUCGUUUCGUCGACCUUUCUCUUACUCUCACACCUGUGCACACAUUGUAGGUCCUCGAAAGAGGAUCCUAUGUCUUUAUCAUCACACACAUAGCAUGUCUAGAAUGUAUCACGUUCGUCGACCGACUUUGCGGUCGGGCGGUGGUCAAACAAAUAAAUACAACUUUCAGCAACGGAUCUCUUGGCUCUC